AGCUUUGCGCAGCUGCAGUGUCACGGCCAGCAAGGUUCAUCUGAGGCGUGGUUACUGCUAACUGAAAACUUGUCCCAAUACCCCAACAUGACAACUUGCAAUAUAAUCAGCAUUGGCAAUUUUUGACUGUCCCUACGGAGA